rnacentral:lncRNA from 1 species
AGACUCCAUCUCACAAAAAAUGGAAAAAAAACAAACAAACAGUAAAUAUAUUAAAUAAUUGGCCAGGCUCAGUGGCUCACCCCUGUAAUCCCAGCACNNNNNNNNNNNNGCCCCUGGCCAGAGACACCCUCUCCCCCGAACCCGCAGCCCGCGAGGCUCCUCUCCUGCUGCCCUCGUGGGCUCAGGAGCUGUGGGAGACGCGACGCAGGAGCUCCCAGGCAGGGAUCCCCGUCCGUGCGCCCCGGAGCCCGCGCGCCUCAGAGCCUGCGCUGGAACCGGAGUCCCUGGACUUCAGCGGAGCCGGCCAGGUACGUGAGAGGGGAGGAGGCCUGGACCGCCGCGGGCAAGGGGGUCUCGGGAGGUCUGAGCCGGAGCACGGAGCCGCGCGUUCAGGGGGCACCCUCGGGCCCUUCCAUUCCCUGCUCCGCGCCCAGAAGAGCUUUCCCUGGGCAGGCUCGACCCUGACACCCGGGGGCGGUGGUUGGAGGGCCACAGCCUCCUCCCCACGGCCUUGCUGUGUUCUCGUUAGAGACUUCGGAGAGACGUCUCCCGCCCAGCCGUGGCCCCCGCAGCAAACCGCCUUGGCCUGCCCUGCCUGGCCCCCGGACCGUUCUGACAGCGUCCCCCGCCCGCCCGUGGCGCCUCCGCGCCUCACCCAGGAGGAGUGGCCGCGCGCUUCCAGGAGCCGCUCACAGACCCGGCCUGCCGUCCGGUCAAUAAAAUCCGCCUGACUCCUGCGCCCCCGCAUGCGACCCUUUCUUCUGCUUGUGUACUUUGCCGUCUAGCUCAGGGCGCAGACAGGCGCGCCCACGCCCUGGCAAAUGUCAGGGGCCCCUCCCUCGCCGACCAGGGGAAGCGCCGGGCACUCAGCAUUCAUUUCAAACCUGGAUCUCCCGGCACCCCCUCCCUCCCUUAGCCAAAGGCUUCCGCAGAGGAUUAAGAACCCCUGGUCCCCUUCUUCUGGG